rnacentral:rRNA from 1 species
ACACGACUACAUUAGAUACCCCCGUAGUCCCAGCCGUAAACUAUGCGCGUUAGGUGUAUCGGUGACCACGAGUUACCGAGGUGCCGAAGGGAACCGUGAAACGUGCCGCCUGGGAAGUACGGUCGCAAGGCUGAAACUUAAAGGAAUUGGCGGGGAGCACCACAACAGGUGGAGCCUGCGGUUUAAUUGGACUCAACGCCGGGAAGCUCACCGGAUAGGACAGCAGAAUGAUUGCCGGGCUGAAGACCCUGCAUGACUAGCUG